GGACUACUGGGGUAUCUAAUCCCGUUUGCUCCCCUAGCUUUCGCGCCUCAGCGUCAGAAGAGGUCCAGUUGCGCGCUUUCGCCACCGGCGUUCCUUCCGAUAUCAACGCAUUUCACCGCUCCACCGGAAGUUCCCGCAACCCCUAUCUCCCUCUAGACAAGCAGUAUCCAAGGCACUUUUCCGGUUAAGCCGAAAGAUUUCACCCCGGACUUGCUUGCCCGCCUACGCGCCCUUUAAGCCCAGUGAAUCCGAACAACGUUCGCACGGUUCGUCUUACCGCGGCUGCUGGCAC
rnacentral:rRNA from 3 species